AACAAAGUAUGGAGAUUGGUGCCAAGGCUAUCGGGGGACCACAACGUCAUUGGAACCAAGUGGAUCUUCAAGAACAAGCAAGAUGCUCAUGGGAACAUCGUUCGCAACAAGGCAAUAUUAGUAGCACAAGGCUACUCCCAAGUCGAGGGUAUCGACUACGGUGAAACCUUUUCUCCCGUUGCUCAUCUUGAAUCCAUACGUUUGUUGAUUGCUUAUGCUUCCCAUCACAACUUUAAGUUGCAACAAAUGGAUGUGAAAAGUGCUUUUCUUAAUGGUCCUAUUAAUGAGUUGGUCUAUGUCAAGCAACCCCCCGGGUUCGAGGAUCCCUACUUCCCGGAUCAUGUGUAUCAACUCGAUAAGGCACUCUAUGGCCUUAAACAAGCCCCACGUGUGUGGUAUGACCAC
rnacentral:rRNA from 1 species